CUAAUACUUGGAAAUGGCAGAGAUGCUUAAUGCCUUCUUUGUUUCGGUCUUCACUGAGAAGUCUGAAGGAAUGUCUAACAUAGUGAAUGCUUAUGGGAAGGGGGUAGGUUUAAAAGAUAAAAUAAAAAAAGAACAAAUAAAAGUUAACUUAGAAAAGAUAGAUGCCUGCAAGUUACCAGGGCCUGAUGAAAUGCAUCCUAGACUACU